rnacentral:lncRNA from 1 species
UAAUGAACAGUUAAUUCACUAUCGAUUAUUUUACAAGAACAAUCUGAUUAAACUACAUAUGUAAAUGACAUCAAAGUAGUAUAAGAAUAAGAGUUUAUAGUAUGGUUAGAUAUAUAUGUUUACGUUGAACAGUAAUUAAUCCCAUUAGUUGACAUCAGAGUAGUAUAAGAAUCAGCUUUUGUUUCAUAAGCCGUAUAUAGCACCAUUAAAAUGCUCUGACACAAAAUCUGAUUUUGACCUAGUUUGUC